UACAUAGGCCCCAAGCGUUAUCCGGAAUUACUGGGCGUAAAGAGUUCGUAGGCGGAGGAACAAGUCAGAUGUUAAAUGUAUGGGCUCAACCCAUUACUUGCAUCCGAAACUGUUCCCCUAGAAUCAGGGAGAGGUAAGCAGAACUGUAUGAGUAGGGGUGCAAUCCGUUGAUACAUACAAGAAUACCAAAAACGAAGGCGGCUUACUGGAACUAUAUUGACGCUGAGGAACGAAAGCGUGGGGAGCGAAAAGGAUUAGAUACCCUUGUAGUCCACGCCCUAAACGAUGGAUGCUAAGUGUCGGGGUAACCCGGUGCUUUAAGCUAACGCAUUAAGCAUCCCGCCUGAGAAGUACGGUCGCAAGAUUAAAACUCAAAUGAAUAGACGGGGACCCACACGAGCAGUGGAUCAUGUUGUUUAAUUCGACAAUAAACGAGAAACCUCACCCAGGCUUGACAUCGAAGGAAUCUGCCAGAAACGGCGGAGUACCCGCAAGGGACCCGAAGACAGGUGCUGCAUGGUUGUCGUCAGCUCGUGCCUUGAGGUGUUCGGUUAAGUCCGUUAACGAGCGCAACCCAUGUCGUUAGUUAUUAUGUCUAACGAGACUGCCUGAGUUAAUCAGGAGGAAGGUGUGGAUGACGUCAAAUCAGCAUGGCCCUUAUGCCUGGGGCUACAAACAUGAUACAAUGGUCGGUACAAAGAGUCGCAAACCUGCGAAGGUAGGCCAAUCUCAUAAAGCCGAUCUCAGUCCAGAUUGGAGUCUGCAACUCGACUCCAUGAAGUUGGAAUUGCUAGUAAUCGUGAAUCAGCUAUGUCACGGUGAAUCCGUUCCUGGGUCUUGUACUCACCGCCCGUCAAAGCAUGGGAGGUGGUUCUACUGGAAGCCCCCGAAGUAAUAUUGGGGUCCAUGGUAAAAUCACUGACUGGGCUU
rnacentral:rRNA from 1 species